AUUGAACGCUGGCGGCAGGCCUAACACAUGCAAGUCGAGCGGCUCGGCGGACGGGUGAGUGAUGCCUAGGACUCUGCAUGUUAGUGGGGGAUAACGUCCGGAACCGGGAGCUAAUACCGCAUACUAUCGGAUGAGCCUGGGUCGGAUUAGCUAGUUGGUGGGGUAAAGGCCUACCAAGGCGACGAUCCGUAACUGGUCUGAGAGGAUGAGCAGUCACACUGGAACUGAGACACGGUCCAGACUCCGACGGGAGGCAGCAGUGGGGAAUAUUGGACAAUGGGCGCAAGCCUGAUCCAGCCAUGCCGCGUGUGUGAAGAAGGUCUUCGGAUUGUAAAGCACUUUAAGUUGGGAGGCGUUACCCACAGAAUAAGCACCGGCUAACUUCGUGCCAGCAGCCGCGGUAAUAC
rnacentral:rRNA from 1 species